rnacentral:rRNA from 1 species
UGGGGAAUAUUGCACAAUGGGGGAAACCCUGAUGCAGCGACGCCGCGUGGAGGAUGACGGCCUUCGGGUUGUAAACUCCUUUUGUCAGGGACAAUGGUGAUGGUACCUGACGAAUAAGCCACGGCUAACUCUGUGCCAGCAGCCGCGGUAAGACAGAGGUGGCGAGCGUUGUUCGGAAUUACUGGGCUUAAAGGGCGCGUAGGCGGUGGUGUAAGUCUGGGGUGGAAUGCUACAGCUCAACUGUAGAGCUGCCUUGGAAACUGCAUUACUUGAGUCGGUGAGGGGAAGGCGGAAUUCCUGGUGUAGCGGUGAAAUGCGUAGAUAUCAGGAGGAAGGUCUGUGGCGAAGGCGGCCUUCUGGCACUUGACUGACGCUGAGGCGCGAAAGCGUGGGGAGCAA